GGGGAACAGACCACAGUGCUUUCCAAGGCAAGAGUAUCACAGGGAAGACCCAUUCCAGACCACACUACCCUCUCGAGAGCCAGGAGAAGACGCUUUCUGGGAUUGACUGAACUUUUUCCAAGGUGAUCCAGGUGACUCCUGGGAGAAUCAUGGAGAGGCAGCCUGUCUAGAUGACUGACUCCAGCAGUGGGAAAUGACUCUGCUGACCCUGGACUCAACAAUGUAAUGGAGGAGGACUAGGUUCUUCAUGGUCGAAGGGAAGAAUGAAGCCCCACAUUAAGCAACUUAAGCUCCUGGCAGGUUACACAUAUCCAGAUUUCAGAAGAAUUUUCAAGAGGUCUUUGCUUCAGGUGGUGCGGUGAUUUAAAAAAAUCUGCCUCCAGUGCAAGAGAUGCAGGAGAUGCGGGUUUGAUUGCUGGAUCAAGAAGAUCCCCUGGAGGAGGAAAUGACACCCACUCCAGUAUUCUUGCCUGGAAAAUUCCAUGAAGAAAUCAUCUACCUUGGAAGGAAAUAGACUGUGAGAAGCAAAGGCAAGACCCAGAGUCCAGGAAUUGCUCAUUUUCAAUCGCUCUUGCAUUCCAGCUGAACCUCUGACCUUGCCAUUGGAUUGUUCAAUCCCUUAAUAAUUGAUCCCAGUUCUUCAAUGGAUUUCACUGAAGAUAGACAUAUGGUCUUGCAACAAUCACCACAUCAGUCUGAAA
ensembl:lncRNA